rnacentral:rRNA from 1 species
CCUACGGGUGGCAGCAGUAGGGAAUAUUGCUCAAUGGGGGAAACCCUGAAGCAGCCACGCCGCGUGGAGGAUGAAGGUUUUCUGAUUGUAAACUCCUUUUGUUAGAGAAGAUAAUGACGGUAUCUAACGAAUAAGCACCGGCUAACUCCGUGCCAGCAGCCGCAGUAAUACGGAGGGUGCACGCGUUACUCGGAAUCACUGGGCGUAAAGCGCGCGUAGGCGGGAUAGCAAGUCAGAUGUGAAAUCCUAUGGCUUAACCAUAGAACUGCAUUUGAAACUGUUAUUCUAGAGUAUGGGAGAGGUAGGUGGAAUGCUUGGUGUAGGGGUAAAAUCCGUAGAGAUCAAGAGGAAUACUGAUUGCGAAGGCGACCUGCUAGAACAUAACUGACGCUGAUGCGCGAAAGCGUGGGGAGCAAACAGGAUUAGAUACCCCAGUAGUC